rnacentral:SRP_RNA from 1 species
GUCGAGUUCGGUAACGCGGGCUUGUGAUCCGAGUGGAGACUAUAAGGUGAUGGAACGUUGGACCGAUCUUAAUGUGCCGGGUUCGAUUUGGGCUUUCAACCGGCCUGCCCGUUCCAAGCUGAGAGUUGAUGGUUCGGACUCGAGCGAAGGCUUGUGGGUUCGGACUUUCUUAGAGCGGAGGAGACUGCGUUAGACUGGUUUCACAGAGCAGCGUCCACCUCCCGUUCUUGGCAGUGGAAGGAUAACGGGCCGGUGCCUUCCGAGCCCACUAUGACCCAAUAAACCGGUCUCAAUUGGACCAUCACUUUU